rnacentral:rRNA from 1 species
GAUGAACGCUGGCGGCGUGCCUAAUACAUGCAAGUCGAGCGAACGGACGAGAAGCUUGCUUCUCUGAUGUUAGCGGCGGACGGGUGAGUAACACGUGGAUAACCUACCUAUAAGACUGGGAUAACUUCGGGAAACCGGAGCUAAUACCGGAUAAUAUUUUGAACCGCAUGGUUCAAAAGUGAAAGACGGUCUUGCUGUCACUUAUAGAUGGAUCCGCGCUGCAUUAGCUAGUUGGUAAGGUAACGGCUUACCAAGGCAACGAUGCAUAGCCGACCUGAGAGGGUACUCGGCCACACUGGAACUGAGACACGGUCCAGACUCCUACGGGAGGCAGCAGUAGGGAAUCUUCCGCAAUGGGCGAAAGCCUGACGGAGCAACGCCGCGUGAGUGAUGAAGGUCUUCGGAUCGUAAAACUCUGUUAUUAGGGAAGAACAUAUGUGUAAGUAACUGUGCACAUCUUGACGGUACCUAAUCAGAAAGCCACGGCUAACUACGUG